UGGGGAAUAUUGCACAAUGGGCGCAAGCCUGAUGCAGCCAUGCCGCGUGUAUGAAGAAGGCCUUCGGGUUGUAAAGUACUUUCAGCGGGGAGGAAGGGAGUAAAGUUAAUACCUUUGCUCAUUGACGUUACCCGCAGAAGAAGCACCGGCUAACUCCGUGCCAGCAGCCGCGGUAAUACGGAGGGUGCAAGCGUUAAUCGGAAUUACUGGGCGUAAAGCGCACGCAGGCGGUUUGUUAAGUCAGAUGUGAAAUCCCCGGGCUCAACCUGGGAACUGCAUCUGAUACUGGCAAGCUUGAGUCUCGUAGAGGGGGGUAGAAUUCCAUGUGUAGCGGUGAAAUGCGUAGAGAUGUGUAGGAAUACCGGUGGCGAAGGCGGCCCCCUGGACAAAGACUGACGCUCAGGUGCGAAAGCGUGGGGAGCAAACAGG
rnacentral:rRNA from 1 species